rnacentral:rRNA from 1 species
AGUGAACGCUGGCGGCAGGCCUAACACAUGCAAGUCGAACGGCAGCACAAGAGAGCUUGCUCUCUGGGUGGCGAGUGGCGGACGGGUGAGGAAUGCAUCGGAAUCUGCCCAUUUGUGGGGGAUAACCUCGGGAAACCGGGACUAAUACCGCACACGACCUACGGGUGACAGCAGGGGAUCUUCGGACCUUGCGCAGAUGGAUGAGCCGAUGCCGGAUUAGCUAGUUGGAGGGGUAAAGGCCCACCAAGGCGACGAUCCGUAGCUGGUCUGAGAGGAUGAUCAGCCACACUGGGACUGAGACACGGCCCAGACUCCUACGGGAGGCAGCAGUGGGGAAUAUUGGACAAUGGGCGCAAGCCUGAUCCAGCCAUGCCGCGUGUGUGAAGAAGGCCUUCGGGUUGUAAAGCACUUUUGUUGGGAAAGAAAAGCAGCCGGUUAAUACCCGGUUGUCAUGACGGUACCCAAAGAAUAAGCACCGGCUAACUUCGUG